GACGUAGGGCGCGAGCGUUGUCCGGAAUUAUUGGGCGUAAAGAGCUCGUAGGUGGCGUGUCGCGUCUGCCGUGAAAGCCCAUGGCUUAACUGUGGGUCUGCGGUGGAUACGGGCAGGCUGGAGGCUGGUAGGGGCAAGCGGAAUUCCUGGUGUAGCGGUGAAAUGCGCAGAUAUCCGGAGGAACACCAGAGGCGAAGGCGGCAACCUGGCACGUUACUGACGCUCAUACACGACAGCAUGGGGAGCGAACGGG
rnacentral:rRNA from 1 species